AGAGUGAACGCUGGCGGCAGGCCUAACACAUGCAAGUCGAGCGGCAGCACAGGUAGCAAUACCGGGUGGCGAGCGGCGGACGGGUGAGGAAUACAUCGGAAUCUGCCUUGUUGUGGGGGAUAACGUAGGGAAACUUACGCUAAUACCGCAUAAGACCGUAAGGUGAAAGCGGGGGAUCGAAAGACCUCGCGCGACAAGAUGAGCCGAUGUCGGAUUAGCUAGUUGGUGAGGUAAUGGCUCACCAAGGCGACGAUCCGUAGCUGGUCUGAGAGGAUGAUCAGCCACACUGGAACUGAGACACGGUCCAGACUCCUACGGGAGGCAGCAGUGGGGAAUUUGCGCAAUGGGGGAAACCCUGACGCAGCAACGCCGCGUGGAGGAUGAAGUCCCUUGGGACGUAAACUCCUUUCGACCGGGACGAUAAUGACGGUACCGGAAGAAGAAGCCCCGGCUAACUUCGUGCCAGCAGCCGCGGUAA
rnacentral:rRNA from 1 species